AAAUGCGAUAACUAAUGUGAAUUGCAGAAUUCAGUGAAUCAUCGAGUCUUUGAACGCACAUUGCGCCCCCUGGUAUUCCGGGGGGCAUGCCUGUCCGAGCGUCAUUGCUGCCCUCAAGCCCGGCUUGUGUGUUGGGUCGCCGUCCCCCUCUCCGGGGGGACGGGCCCAAAAGGCAGCGGCGGCACCGCGUCCGAUCCUCGAGCGUAUGGGGCUUUGUCACAUGCUCUGUAGGAUUGGCCGGCGCCUGCCGACGUUUUCCAACCAUUUUUUCCAGGUUGACCUCGGAUCAGGUAGGGAUACCCGCUGAACUUAAGC
rnacentral:misc_RNA from 1 species